rnacentral:rRNA from 1 species
GAUGAACGCUGGCGGCGUGCCUAAUACAUGCAAGUCGAGCGAACAGACGAGGAGUUUGCUCCUUCGACGUUAGCGGCGGACGGGUGAGUAACACGUAGGUAACCUACCUAUAAGACUGGGAUAACUUCGGGAAACCGGAGCUAAUACCGGAUAAUAUUUCGAACCGCAUGGUUCGAUAGUGAAAGAUGGCUUUGCUAUCACUUAUAGAUGGACCUGCGCCGUAUUAGCUAGUUGGUAAGGUAACGGCUUACCAAGGCAACGAUACGUAGCCGACCUGAGAGGGUGAUCGGCCACACUGGAACUGAGACACGGUCCAGACUCCUACGGGAGGCAGCAGUAGGGAAUCUUCCGCAAUGGGCGAAAGCCUGACGGAGCAACGCCGCGUGAGUGAUGAAGGUCUUCGGAUCGUAAAACUCUGUUAUUAGGGAAGAACAAACGUGUAAGUAACUGUGCACGUCUUGACGGUACCUAAUCAGAAAGCCACGGCUAACUACGUG